ensembl:lncRNA
GUGGAUCAGGAUGUAGAACUCCCAGCUACCUCUCCAGCGCCAUGUCUGCCUGUGUGCCACCCUGCUUCCCUCCGUGACGUUGAUGGACUAACCCUCUGAACUGUACGCCAGCCAGUUAAAUGUUUUCUUUUAUAAGAGUUGUCGUGGUCAUGGUGUCUCUUCACAGCAAUAAAACCUUAACUAAGACAAACCAUUAAUCUCAGGUGUUUCCGAGCCAAGCUGGUGAGUUACACAAGCAACAAAGCUCUAUUUGUAGACCCUUCAGGGUCAGAACCAUCUGGGGGUGUGAUUUCUGUUUGGUACAGGAAACGAGAGGCGCAUGACUCCAAUUUCUGGAAUUUGGCAGCCUUCUACCAAUAUCUCUGAUUUCGUUACACAUAUUUUAACAGAAGAAAAGAGGUCUUUGGGAAGACUUUGAAACCCAUCCUUUGAAUGGGGAACGGCGAGGCGGGUGGUGGGAGCUGUGCAGACAGCACACCUUCUGAGUGUGUAGGAAGCGGCGGACUCAUGCGGUGACUAGGGACCAGCUCCAAGAAGGUGUCUCACUCAGGUAUGAGCUUUAGCUUUAUGUUCACAGAACUCAAGCAGAGGGAGAUAAUGACAGUUCUUUCUCCCAUUUAUUGGUGAGAUGAAGUUACAGGCUCCGGGUGAACAACAAGGCAAAGAUGGAAUUCAGAUUUUGGUGCUGCCUGAGAGGGUGGUGGUGCCAUGUCCAAAUCAGGGACAUUGUGGAAGAAGCACACAUUUGAAAGGGAAGACCACACGCCCCUCUUCUGGACACCCCAAGUGUGAAGUCUUCAUUACCCAGGUGGAGAUGAUCAGAAGGCAGUCCCCCGAGGGAGGGAUUUUCUGAAGGGGUGACCAACAGUGAAGGUUCCGUAAGGAGCUGUGAAGGUUGAGGAGGAGCCAGGAGCUGCUGCUGUUCUUGAGAAAAUCCAGUGGGAAUGUCGAAGCCAAAUUAGAAAGAUUUUUAGUUUUGCAAAUUUUUUAGGAUGGAAUUUUAUGCAACCUGAGCUGUCCUUGAAAGUGUGUGUGUGUGUGUGUGUGUGUGUGUGUGUGUGUGUGUGUGUAGCCCUGGAACUGGAGUUACAGACAGUUGUGAACUGCCAUGUGGGUGCUGGGGAUUGAACCCAGGUCCUCUGGAAGAGCAGCUAGUGCUCUUAAUCGCUGAGCUAUCUUUCUAGUCCCCUGGUCACUAGAAAUUUUUAUCUGUUCAUCCUGACUCUAGACUGCCUGUGUGAAGACAGGGUUUCUGGAUGGAAUUUCCUGGGUCCCCUUGAGACCUGAGGAGGUUGGGGUAUCAGUCUGGCUGCCCUUCCAUCUCCAUUGGGGGCAGUUUUCACUGUGGAUUUCAGGAUUGGAGGAGCGCCAGGAAUUGCCUGAUCCUCCUGUGGCACUGGAGUCUAGUGGCAGAUUGGUCCCUGAAGAGAACACAGGCCACCUCAGGAGGGCCCUGUGCUAUGAAUUCUGUAAUUUUCCAGCUUCAAACUCAGUCUCUGGCAAGGUCAGUGGCCUCCUUUCUCUUUAGUCUACUUGGACCAACUCUUGGUCCCUUCUCACUUCCAGUCUUUCCUUCUUCACCCACUAGCACACUCACCCUUGUCUGGCUUUGUCCUCCCCAGACUGCCUCUACUGUUCUGUAGACCAGGGGCCAAUGCCUGCCUGCUGCCGCAACAACUUCCCAUACUGCAAGGCUGUCCCAUUGUCCUUUACAGCCAGGGCCAACAUCUCAUCCUUGCUCAAACUGCAUGCCCUGUGUACACUCUGGUGACACUCUGGGUUGCUACUUCUCAUGUAGGUGUUUGGUCCUGCUUCCUACCCAUUCUCUUCUCUGCUGACUCGACUUUGCACCCCUUGAAGGCCCAGUUUUCCGUUCUAUCCACGGUACCCUUUCUGUUUACUCCAGGCCACAGAGCCCUCCCUCCUCUAAACAUUUCCAUUCAACUCACUGAUGUUUAAUCACCUUUCUUCUGCUAUGGGUAUGUUUUCUCCCAUGUCUCAACAAUUUGUUCAUUCCACUUCCUUAUGUUUGUUCAGGGGGAAAAUAGCAUGUUUUAGGUGCUUGGCACUUGACUAGCAGCUUUAGGUACUGCAUUCAGGCUGGCUUGUUCUGACUGGCCCUUCCAGUUUGUCCUCGGUGUUGCUCAUACCCCAGAAGGCUGACUUUCAUGGUACAUCCACAGGACCCCAUUACUGCCUGGCUUCCCUUACUGUGUGGUCCCCCAGCAGGAUUGGGAUAGAACAGAGAUCAGGAGCUGCAGGUAGGGGUUCCCCUGUUCUUUGCUAUGGGGUUGCCCUGGUGGCUUUGUCAUAGGUCUGGUUAGAAGGUCCUUCCACAUGGCUCUUUGUCUCAGGAGGAAGAACCUGUUCUUUCCUGUCAUCAUUAGGCUGAGGAAUGUGUGCCCUAGUGUCACUGGUGUCUCUCCACCUUGUGGCCCUGCAGCUUCCCAUGUACCGUUCCACACCAUUGCAAAUAGCCACCUUACUAAGAGCUGGGUGACAUGGAUGGCCAAGCCUUCGCCAGAGGACUGGACUGCCACAUGCUAUAGUAGCAUCCACACAGAGAGAAUCCUGUGAACACAGUGGCUACCCAAGAGCCUUUUGUUUUUCUCUCUAAGGAAGAAACCUCACUGGUUUUAAAUUUUGCCAAUGUAGGACCACCAAAGUCAUCUUGAAAAAAAUGUACAACCUGCUCUAUUGAGAGUUUCUGGUGAAGAACUAAAGAAUGAAGGCCCCAGGGCAGGGCUGCAGUUGGGUGGUAUAAAACCUGAUGUUCUGAUGUGGGUGGCAGAUGCUCCAACAGGGACAACUUCAUUUCCUCCACAGUAAAGCAAGCAGCAAUAGCCCCGAGAAAAGACAAAACAAACAAACAAACACAAAAACAAAAAAAGCCAAAUCUGAUCCAACCAGUAAUUCCAAUCACCCCCAAGUCCUGUAGGGAGUCCCCAGAGACCGUAGUUAAUCAGACAAAGGAACUUUAUUGAAAAGGAAUUUCAAUAAAGCCAAUCUAAAGCAUUUCUGAGAAUUGAGUUAUUUAAAAAUGCCCCCAAAGUUACAGAGAGUAGAAACCAGUAUGCAGAGGGCUUGUCUUGGGUUCCACCCAGGAGGCCACGUUCAGCCUCAAGGAUUCCCAGCAUAGCUCUUGGUGAGUGUGUAGGUGAGAUUUUACUGCUCAAGGAUGCUCUCAGAUUCUGCUUAGCUGGAGUUAACUGGAAAAAUAAAAAUAAAAAAAGAUAGCUAGCUCAGCUGGGAACAGACAAAUCUAAGACACUCAUCUUUCCUAAACUCCAUUAACAUACAACCUCAAUUCAAAACUGGAUUCAGUUACUUCGUGGAGAGAAAGGCGUUUUUCUCUUACAGCUGCUGUUGCUGCGUCUGGCUGUAAGCGGGGGUCAGCCAUGACAAAGACAAGCCUGUGUGUUGUUUGUCUUUUCAAGCCCUUGCACUGGCACUGCCAGGCCCUGCGCUGUUUGGAUCAGUUCCCCAGGGACCAGUACUUGUUUAGCUUUCAGCCUUUUUGUCCAGAGUUGAUGAUAGAAGAGGGAGCGGGGUGUUCUGUGUGACUGGUGGCAUGCAUGGGCCACACAGAAGGAUUCU